GAUGAACGCUGGCGGCGUGCCUAACACAUGCAAGUCGAACGAAGCACCUUACCUGAUUCUUCGGAUGCAAGUUUGGUGACUGAGUGUCGGACGGGUGAGUAACGCGUGGGUAACCUGCCCUGUACCGGGGGAUAACAGCUGGAAACGGCUGCUAAUACCGCAUAAGCGCACGAGGAGACAUCUCCUUGUCUGAAAAACUCCGGUGGUACAGGAUGGGCCCGCGUCUGAUUAGCUGGUUGGCAGGGUAACGGCCUACCAAGGCAACGAUCAGUAGCCGGUCUGAGAGGAUGAACGGCCACAUUGGAAAUGAGACACGGUCCAAAAUCCUACGGGAGGCAGCAGUGGGGAAUAUUGCACAAUGGGGGAAAACCUGAUGCAGCAACGCCGCGGGAGUGAAGAAGUAGUUCGGUAUGUAAAGCUCUAUCAGAAGGGAAGAUAAUGACGGUACCGGACUAAGAAGCUCCGGCUAAAUACGUG
rnacentral:rRNA from 1 species